rnacentral:rRNA from 2 species
UAGGGAAUCUUCCACAAUGGACGCAAGUCUGAUGGAGCAACGCCGCGUGAGUGAAGAAGGUUUUCGGAUCGUAAAGCUCUGUUGUUGGUGAAGAAGGAUAGAGGCAGUAACUGGUCUUUAUUUGACGGUAAUCAACCAGAAAGUCACGGCUAACUACGUGCCAGCAGCCGCGGUAAUACGUAGGUGGCAAGCGUUGUCCGGAUUUAUUGGGCGUAAAGCGAGCGCAGGCGGAAUGAUAAGUCUGAUGUGAAAGCCCACGGCUCAACCGUGGAACUGCAUCGGAAACUGUCAUUCUUGAGUGCAGAAGAGGAGAGUGGAAUUCCAUGUGUAGCGGUAGAAUGCGUAGAUAUAUGGAAGAACACCAGUGGCGAAGGCGGCUCUCUGGUCUGCAACUGACGCUGAGGCUCGAAAGCAUGGGUAGCGAACAGG